ensembl:lncRNA
UUUUUUUUAACCUGAGAGAAUCCUUCAAUAGCUUUCCUUAACAAAGGAAAAAAGCCCUCGUUUGAGCGCGUGUGUGUGUGUGGCUGUGUGGGGGGGGGCGUGGCCUUUGUGCUAACUGAUGCUCACGUGGAUGGGUGCCUUUAAGAGCAAGGAGGCAAAUAUCACGCUCUUAUUUUGACAAGACCAGGAGAUGUGCCGAAUUGCAUUUUUUAACUCUUUCGCAUUUCAUUACAAAAUCUUCUGGAAUAUAUGUAUAUAUAUAUUUAUAAAAAGUUUGGGUUGAGCAAAAAUCAGAUUUCCACACUACAGUUCAAAUCUUUUUCUUGAUAAAAAAACCUACUAGGUUGGACGUGCUUAGAGUGCAAUGUCAUCAUAGUGCUAGGAUUAGAAUCCACAGGGUGCUUUAUAUUUCCCCGUAGAUCGUUUAACUUCGUUAAACACUUAAAGGGAAAUUUGGUUAAUCUGAUUGGCGCAGGGGGUUCCUCGGGAGAGGUCAAAGGUCACUCCAUCUGUUAUCAUCAUCCACAAUCCGCUGAGAAUACACAAUAUGGCAUUACAUUCGUUUGGCCAUGGGACACACUUCAUCUAACUACUCACUAUAAGAAAGAGCCAAUAGGACCACUGGUCUUGUUCAAACUUUGGGGGAGCCAGGUACCGCAUGAGUUAGCACGACCAACAACGACCAAUGAAUGAAGCGCACACAAAUCAUACCCAAAUUAAGACACACAAUUACAUACACACACACACAAAAAAAAAAAAUCAAAACACUCAAACAUCACUUUUGUAGCAGUUUACAUGAAACAACACCUUUUUGUAUUUCCCCAGCGCCCCAGCCAGAGUCUAGUAGGGCUGGGCCCUAUCAGACGCCUUCGUCCACCACCACCAGGUGAGGUGGUGGUGCUAAACCAAGCGGCCUUCCUCUGAGACGAGGGUGGAGGAGAAUUGCAUAGACAUAUUGCUACAUGCAUGUCCUUACAAACUAACAUUUGGCAUUAGGGUGGGGUGAAACACAACCACACCCAACAUUGUUAACAAUCUGUCAUCAUAUAAUAUAAGUCAACCAUCAGUCCCAACCUUCAGACGUG